GGUUGAUGAUGAAUAGUAAAAGGGCUGAAGCCCAGACACUCCCUGCACCGUCACGGUCCCCAGCUGCCUCUCCUCCAUCAGGCUCCAGGAGUGCUGUGGUGGGCGGAAGGGCAGCUGACACUCCGGAUGUCCCCAUUCUAUGUUCCUUGGUGAGCCCAGAGAGAACGCCAUGGUGGGUGUCCCAACAGCUCAGUCGCAAAGGGAUCUGUUGGCAGGAGUGCAGGUGUCUGUGGCUGUGAUCUGACAUUUUCAGCUGAGACC